AGGGAAAUAGGUAAAAAAAUUAUUAUAAAUAUAUUUAUGUUAACGUUAUUUAUAUGUAAAUAUUCUAUCGAUUAUUAUGAGGUAUGUUUUUUUGUCUUUAGUGUCUGGAAGAAGCAUAACUGCAUCGUCUGCUGUCAUCAAUGAAACUGGUGAGCAUCUUCUUCUGUUACUAUUGAAAAUGAUCAAUUGACAAACGAGAUGUAUAGAAAAUAUCGCUCCCAACACCCAGGGCCUCUCUCAGAGAGGUCCUUCAAUAAGUGGUGUUCUAAUGGCGGUAUGGAUGAGUCCUCCUUCAAAUGGAGGGCUCAUCCAUACCGGGGUGUUAGGAGACACCGAAGAUCUAACAGCAAUAAAAGAGUUAUAAAUAACUUCUAUCAGUUAUGAUAUAUGAUAUUUAUAACUUUUUUGUUGCUGCCUUUUCUUCGGUUAUUUUUUUUUUUUU